rnacentral:rRNA from 1 species
GUGGGGAAUCUUGCGCAAUGGGCGAAAGCCUGACGCAGCAACGCCGCGUGCGGGAUGACGGCCUUCAAGGUUGUAAACCGCUUUCAGCAGGGACGAAAAUGACGGUACCUGCAGAAGAAGCCCCGGCUAACUACGUGCCAGCAGCCGCGGUAAUACGUAGGGGGCAAGCGUUGUCCGGAUUCAUUGGGCGUAAAGAGCUCGUAGGCGGUUCAGUAAGUCGGGUGUGAAAGCUCCGAGCUCAACUCGGAGAGGCCACCCGAUACUGCUGUGACUUGAGUACAGUAGGGGAGCGUGGAAUUCCUGGUGUAGCGGUGAAAUGCGCAGAUAUCAGGAGGAACACCAGCGGCGAAGGCGGCGCUCUGGGCUGUAACUGACGCUGAGGAGCGAAAGUGUGGGUAGCAAACAGGAUUAGAUACCCUGGUAGUCC